rnacentral:lncRNA from 12 species
UUUGGAAUAAGAGAGAUGGCUUCUAUUUCGGUGAUAAUUACAGGAUAUUAAAUUAAAUUCCUUACCUUCAUUCUGCCACAUAUUACAUAAUUUAUACAUUAUAAAAUUAAUCCUAAUGGUUCAGUGCUUUGAUGUGUCUUUUCAUUUGUUUCAGAGCCAUUUGCAGUACAGUGUAACUUUUCCCAGUACUGCGCUAAUGAAUCAUCAUACUACUGGAUGCUUGUGGAGGUGAAUGGCUCUAAUAUGACAGAGGGAGAGAUUCAGAUUUGGUUUUUAGAUCUUUUUAAUAAAAGCACCUGUUCUGCUGGAGUUUCAACAACAGGAAUCAAUACAACAUCGUGCCAAACUCACAUAGUCUUUGUGGUAAGUAUCAUUUGUUUUCAAAGAACAGGUCAGGGCUGAACUUUGAUGUUGUCCAACACUGCAUCCUUAUAAAAUGUCUUUUUCAUUAAUAUAGACUGCUGAGGUUAGAUGUGAAGCCAAGCAGAACAUCCAGUAAGUCAAAUCUAAAUCUCUAAGCUACACAAGUAUGAUUUCAUUGUAAUUCAACAUCAAGUAACACUGCUACUGUAAUUAUUACAGAAAAACAAACUGCACUGUGCUGCUACAGCUGAGCCAACCUGUUAAUAUGUGCAUCCUCCGAAGGCUGGUGCAAAACGGGACUGUAAACCCAUCAAUCCAGAUCCAGCUUCUGGGAGAUGUAGAAAGAGUGGGUAAAGGCUUGUGCCCAGAGGACAAUAAGUCGCCCCCUGGAGAUGGUUUAGUGCACUGCACAUCUCUAAUGUCUUAUGAUGAUUUCUGCAAGACCCAAGGGCCUGUCAGUGUCACAUGGUAGGAUAUGCUACAAAUUAAAGACUUGCCACACUCUUUAAUUAGUCCUGCGGCAAACAAUUUUGGCAUUUUUAGUGUUUACAAUAUUUAUGUGAGAUUGUAUUACUCAUUUCCCAAUGUCCGCUCUUUCUUGCAUUAGUUCUUAUAAGGAAAAUGGCUUUGUUCCUAAAGACUUGAUUGCUAAUCAAUCCUGCAACGGUGAGUGUUAUUACUCUUUGGAUUUACUUUCGUCCUCAUUUUCUGACUAAUACCAGUAUCAUAUUCAAAAAUGAAAUUUUGUUUUUUUAGUUGAGAACCAACAACAUUGUGAGUGUCAUGUGUCUACCAACAACGGUGAGUGGAACAUAAUUGUUCUAUGUAAGAGUAGGUAGAAGCAUGUGUCAUGGACCAAUCAGACACCAAGCUCUCUCUCCUACCUCUCUUUUAGAGACAUAUUAUGCUGUUCGUCUAAAUAUUAGAAGCCCAGAUGUGAAUUUCUCCUACAUUCAGAACAUGGUGAGUUUUUAGAGAAACGGUUCUUGCAAACAGGUAAAAUGCCUUUAGUAAGUCUUUUACCGAAACAUUGCUAUAUAAAGAUUGGC